UACGUAGGGUGCAAGCGUUAAUCGGAAUUACUGGGCGUAAAGCGUGCGCAGGCGGUUUUGUAAGUCUGUCGUGAAAGCCCCGGGCUCAACCUGGGAAUUGCGAUGGAGACUGCAAGGCUUGAAUCUGGCAGAGGGGGGUAGAAUUCCACGUGUAGCAGUGAAAUGCGUAGAGAUGUGGAGGAACACCGAUGGCGAAGGCAGCCCCUGGGUCAAGACUGACGCUCAUGCACGAAAGCGUGGGGAGCAAACAGG
rnacentral:rRNA from 1 species